rnacentral:rRNA from 1 species
UGCCGGCGACCGGCGGACGGGUGCGUACGCGUAUGUAACCUACCUUUGACAGGGGGAUAACAUCGAGAAAUUGGUACUAAUACCCCAUAACAUCACCGGAGGCAUCUUCGGUGGUUGAAAACUCAGGUGGUCAGAGAUGGACAUGCGUUGUAUUAGCUAGUUGGUGAGGUAACGGCUCACCAAGGCGACGAUACAUAGGGGGACUGAGAGGUCAACCCCCCACAUUGGUACUGAGACACGGACCAAACUCCUACGGAAGGCAGCAG